UGGUUCUGGCAUCGAUGAAGAACGCAGCGAAAUGCGAUAAGUAAUGUGAAUUGCAGAAUUCAGUGAAUCAUCGAAUCUUUGAACGCACAUUGCGCCCCUUGGUAUUCCGAGGGGCAUGCCUGUCCGAGCGUCAUUACACCCCUCGAACCCCCGGGUUUGACGUUGGGCGCCGCCCCGCCGGGCGCGCCUGAAAGGCAGCGAUGGUGAACCGUGUACCUCCGAGCGCACAGAUGUCGCUACGCAGGGCGCGGGGACCAGGCUUCUAGACGCUUGUCGUCCUGAACGUUGACCUCGGAUCAGGUAGGGAUACCCGCUGA
rnacentral:misc_RNA from 1 species